rnacentral:rRNA from 1 species
CAGCCGCCGCGGUAAUACGUAGGUGGCAAGCGUUGUCCGGAAUUAUUGGGCGUAAAGGGCUCGCAGGCGGUUUCUUAAGUCUGAUGUGAAAGCCCCCGGCUCAACCGGGGAGGGUCAUUGGAAAAUGGGAAACUUGAGUGCAGAAGAGGAGAGUGGAAUUCCAUGUGUAGCGGUGAAAUGCGUAGAGAUGUGGAGGAACACCAGUGGCGAAGGCGACUCUCUGGUCUGCAACUGACGCUGAGGAGCGAAAGCGUGGGGAGCGAACAGGAUUAGAUACCCCGGUAGUCCCUGUCUCUUAUAC